GACGAACGCUGGCGGCGUGCCUAAUACAUGCAAGUAGAACGCACAGUUUAUACCUUAGCUUGCUACACCAUAGACUGUGAGUUGCGAACGGGUGAGUAACGCGUAGGUAACCUGCCUGGUAGCGGGGGAUAACUAUUGGAAACGAUAGCUAAUACCGCAUAAUAUUGAUUAUUGCAUGAUAAUUAAUUGAAAAGUGCAAUUGCACCACUACCAGAUGGACCUGCGUUGUAUUAGCUAGUAGGUGAGGUAACGGCCCACCUAGGCGACGAUACAUAGCCGACCUGAGAGGGUGAUCGGCCAAACUGGGACUGAGACACGGCCCAGACUCCUAAGGGAGGCAGCAGUAGGGAAUCUUCGGAAAUGGACGAAAGUCUGACCGAGCAACGCCGCGUGAGUGAAGAAGGGUUUCGGAUCGUAAAGCUCUGUUGUAAGAGAAGAAAGGGUGUGAGAGUGGAAAGUUCACACUGUGACGGUAUCUUACCAGAAAGGGACGGCUAACUACGUG
rnacentral:rRNA from 1 species